rnacentral:tRNA from 1 species
GUGUCUGUAGCCUAGUUGGUAAAGGAAGCACUCUAGUACAAUUGAGGUUGUAAGUUUGACUCUUACCAGAAACA